UACGUAGGGGGCAAGCGUUGUCCGGAAUCAUUGGGCGUAAAGAGCGCGUAGGCGGCCCGGUAAGUCCGCUCUGAAAGUCCGGGGCUCAACCCCGGGAGGCGGGCGGAUACUGUCGGGCUAGAGUCCGGAAGAGGCGAGUGGAAUUCCUGGUGUAGCGGUGAAAUGCGCAGAUAUCAGGAGGAACACCAAUGGCGAAGGCAGCUCGCUGGGACGGUACUGACGCUGAGGCGCGAAAGCGUGGGGAGCGAACAGG
rnacentral:rRNA from 1 species